rnacentral:lncRNA from 1 species
UCUUACAGUAUACCCCUUCUGUCUACUUUGUCUCGUCUGUAAAUUUUUUUCGUAUCACUGACACCUUUGCUGUAUUUUCUUCACUAACUCUGGCCCGAUCAACUAUCAUUCUCCAACUUUAUCCCAGCAGACUGACAACCUUCAAGGCCUACUAUAAAGAGCCUCAUAAGGGGUCAUGCAAAUGCUAGCAUGGUAACUAUUAUUAUAGG